AACAAUUCUCUCUUACUGCUCUUUCUAAUCCUCAAAGUCAGUAAUGAGCGACACCCCAAGAUUCCAAACAACUCCCUCAAAUCUUUAAAGUCUCCACCUACUCGUCUAGAAACUUAAAAAACACUCCUACAUGCACUGUGUCGCUUUUCCUUCGAGGAGAGCAUUAGUACUCAACUAUUGCAAGGUCCAAAAGAUAUACUGCUGGCUGUUCUUCAUUUGUGUUCUCGUGGUGGCGUGGUGCCGGCACGUCGCGGGUCUCUUUGGUUCCGUCCUAUGAGGCAAAGGUGGCCAUUUGUUAUGCUCGAAAGAGUCAGGGUACGAAUAUACAGCAGGAGGAUAAAGAGAGAGAGAAGGAUGUUGAAUUUCUCUUUAACUCCUCCGGGGAGAACACAGUAGAAGUCUGAGAGGAAGACUUAACCAUUCAGUACUGCAGAUAACUUCUAAACUUCCCAAAAUGCUUUAUUGGUUGUCAAAAACGGAACAAGUAGAUAUCAAACUGUGGUCGAUAAGUAACUCCAGAUUAUUUUUUGCCCUUGGAUUGUGAAAGAAAUCAUCGUUAAGCCAGUAAAACCCUCUAAUGGCAUUCAGAAGCAAGCGAAACUGAUGUUAUGUUUAGGUACUUAACUUCAUCAAUAUUCUGUAUGGGAGAAACAAUUGCCUUUUAUGUGAGUUGUGAUAACUCACCCGGUGUCAUCAUUCUGGCGACAACACACCAACUUCUAAAUUUACUGAACACAAAUUAUACCACGUUUAACAGAUUCAGUAAACAUGAAAGUAGCUUGUGUUUAUUCUUCAUCUUUACAGAAUGUAAUGCACAGUAACAGUAUAUGUGUGGGCACUUUCAUUCAAGAUGCUCACAACUCCUCAUCUCUGUCCUCUCAGGUGGACGCCGCGCCGAGUUGUCUGCAGAACACCACACACUACUCAGUAUCGCCUACAGCGCCUCCACAACACCCUGCAAACGAGUCCUAUUCUCUCCGGGACACGUUCAUUCCUCCUCCUGCAGGCCAGUAUUCAAAAACGCUUUGCUCUCACCACGAUUACUUUCAAAGGCCACAGAUAUGACUAGCCGGAUUCCCAAGGUUGCUUCUCCUGUUGCUAACAUGGAAAUCUUGUUAAUCUGUCACUAAAACCAUAAGAGCAGCCUUAAAAGCCCGUGUCACUUCAACUAGAGCCUUUUGAAAAGCGUGGAGUUGCGGACAAAAGUGUUUCAGAGUAUGGUCCACAGUCCCGCUGUCCUCCCGCGUCUCUCCUCUCCGUGACCACACCAGAACAGAGGCCAGCCGUCCAACACCCACCUCGCACCUCCUGCCUCUCAUGGUCUCCAGGAGCCUGCACAUCUGCGAACUGAGAAUGGGACGACCGCAAGAGUACCACACACUCCAGCCCGCCUCGCCCUGCCUGGCUUGCUAUCACGAGCACCAUUAGUUCAGCCAACAAGCACACGGAUGUGUGAGAAUGAACAGCACCGCCUAAUUCCGUUUCGUCAUUCCCCUUCUUCAGUCGAGCGGGAUCAUGGGGGACGCUGGUAACUUAACACGACAUGACGGUACACGGAGCGCCGGUGACAACCCAGGAAUGUUAACAUGCGAGGGGCAACCAGCGGAGGUGUGCGGGAGGCAAGGUCGGACUGGCUGAGUGACUGAGUGAGUGAGUGAGUGAGUUGGUUGAAUGUUGUGUUGUGGGGCUGCUUGUUCUUUAGCCACGAGAGGAAAUGUUGUGUGUGUGUGUGUGUGUGUGUGUGUGUGUGUGUGUGUGUGUGUGUGUGGGUGAAUGGGUUGGUGGAGGGGAUUGGUGUGUUUGUGUGGGACAUGGGAUGGAGUCAGGCAGAGAAGUUAGUGACUCUCUCUCUCUCUCUCUCUCUCUCUCUCUCUC